AUUGAACGCUGGCGGCAUGCCUUACACAUGCAAGUCGAACGGCAGCACGGGGGCAACCCUGGUGGCGAGUGGCGAACGGGUGAGUAACAUAUCGGAACAUACCCUAGAGUGGGGAUAACGUAGCGAAAGUUACGCUAAUACCGCAUACGAUCUAAGGAUGAAAGUGGGGGAUCUUCGGACCUCAUGCUCAUGGAGUGGCCGAUAUCUGAUUAGCUAGUUGGUGAGGUAAAGGCUCACCAAGGCGACGAUCAGUAGCUGGUUUGAGAGAACGACCAGCCACACUGGAACUGGGACACGGUCCAGACUCCUACGGGAGGCAGCAGUGGGAAUUUUGGACAAUGGGGGCAAGCCUGAUCCAGCAAUGCCGCGUGAGUGAAGAAGGCCUUCGGUUGGUAAAGCGUACUUUUGUUCUAGGGAAGGAAACGGU
rnacentral:rRNA from 1 species